ensembl:lncRNA
GUGUGUGUGUGUGUGUGUGUGUGCGUGUGCGUAUGAAUGAGAGUGUAUCAACACAGAAACCCAGCACCACUGUGCUCAUGUGUGUAUUCGUGUCCCAUUAGAGUGCCAUUGGUCCUGUUUUUACCCUUGUUGGUAUUGGCCUUUGCCCGUCUGGAGAGCAGGCUGAGCUUUUGUUUGGCAUUCUGACUUCUCUCCAUGGUUCUCUUCACCACCUGUUCGUAGCGCUCCUGCAUGGACAGGGGACACCAACCACAGUCAAAACACCUAUUGCCUUUCAAACGGCAAUUUACAUCCAAAGUACUUCAUAUUGGAGGAUAGUGCCGUGUCCUCCUCAGACCAUUCAUCCUGCCAUUCACCUCAUCUGUCUCUCCAACAAAGGCUCAGCUAAAACCCACAUCCUUCCUGAGGACAAAAUCUGCAAACCCUGUAGGAUCUCUGACAUUUCACCUUCUCCUUGUGAAGCCUCUGCCUCCUCUUCUCCUCCACAGCCACCCUCCUCCUCUCCUCCUUACUCCUCUGCUCCUCCAGCUUUUGCCGGCGCUCCUCCAGGUGCUUCUCGUAGUGACGUUUGGCGCGUUCCUCCUUGGCCAGCCAGCCCUGCUCGCGUGAGGCUGGAGAGAUGAAUCAGAACAAAUGAAUGGCCCUCACAGCCCCAUUAUGCUUUAGAUGUUUAGGUGCAGAACUAAAGGCUGGCCCCCUUGGACUCUGAAUUCCGUGUCGGUCUUACCGAGCACCUUCUGCUGCUGCUCUCGCCGCUCUCGGGCCAGACGCAGCCUCUCGUCGACCUUCAGACCAUGCUCUACAAAGAGAGGUGGAAGAGAGUUCACAGUCACCCAUUUCUCAGCUAUGUGCGACAUGAUUGGCUUCCUUAAACAAAUCAUGUCAAGUGUAUCUUUCUACAGAGGAUCAUUGCAUUAGGCCAGUUUCUUAUGGUUUGAUUCAAUGGUGCAAGUGAUGCAUGUGUGACUGACAAAGAAAAGUCCUUUAUACCUGCUGUGUCUCUGGUCUUGUUCUGAAUGUGUGGUUGUCCAACUCUCUUUUUUGCUGGAUUUGGCUUUGGAUCCAUCCCAGAUCCUGAAAUGUGUGAAGGUCUAUAUGCAUUUUCACAAAGGUCUUACAGAAACAAAUGAAUGAACAAAGAAACCUGACUUUAAAAGCUAAUGAGGCCCAAUGCCUCUGCAUGGAUCUCAAUGGGUUGUACUGAGAUACUGGAGCAAUUCAUUCUGCAUUCAAUUUCAGGACAAUAACAAUAACCAUAUCAUUACCUUUUAGGCCUUAUAUGUGAUUUAUAUGAAAAACAACUAAUGCUGUAUAAAUAACACAACAAUGAAACAGCAUUUGCCAAUAGUCCUUCAUAUAAUGACAUUUGUUUACCUAAAUGUGGACAAACUAAUUCAGUCCAAUUGAAUCCUAUCUAUCUAUUAACAUCAAUCAACCAGUCCCCUCGUUGAAAUCAUAACACAAGAUUUCCACAACACGUGGUCAUUAAAUGCUCUGAUUUUCCGCAAGCCAUUCAUUCCUGGAAGAGUAGCCUACAAUUAACGACCCUAUCUUGAACCACAAAGCAGCAGACACACUCCAAACACAGCUUGUGACCCAAGCUGAUGCAUCCCUCUAACUUACAGACCCCCCAGGGGGUGAGAGAACAGAGAGGGCACUUGUGUUCUCGAACGUUUGCUGCAAAGAACAGCCUGCCCAGCGCCUGACUGCUGUCCUCAUUGAGAUCACAAUCAAAUGGCAACAAACAACAUGAGAAGGAGCGUCUAUCAACAGCGUCACACGUCCAGGCAACACCUUUGAUCAAGGCAAUGCAUGUCCACUGAAUCCAGUAACUCAUUUCUCAGGCACAAAAUGGUGGAGAAAGCCCACCUGAACACACUGCCAUUAAGGUGAAGAUGAGACAUUUACUCCAACAGUGUCACCACUAUAGCAAUAUCUAUAGCAGACAGUUUUGGUAAAUGCGAUAUAUGGACAUUCCUGCGCACCAUCUGCUGUCAACAAUAGAGGGGACAUCCCUGUAGGGAAUGAAGUGCCAAAUAUGUCAUCUGAUGCGGGACCUCAGGGGAGAGGCUUUGUCAGUUGUGGUCAUAGAGACUACAGCACCAAUCCUGCAGAAAUAACACAUAAAACAGCCACAAGGCCACUCACCUCUCCUCCGCCUCUCUUUCUCGGCAAUCCCCUCUUCUAUCUCAUCCUUUAUGAUGGAGAGAUCCGGGGAGCAAACACUCCGCUUCAUUGGUGCUGGCACGCUGGCACAGGACGCUGGCAUGGUGGAUGCACGAUGCCCGUGCCUCUUCAGUGACUGUACUCCUCAGCUCUGCGUAUAGUGGGACGAAAGCACAGAAUCCCUCGGGUUAAAUUGGUGGCGACAGCCCCGUUUUCUGUGCCACUGUCACUGCUACUGCUACUGCUGCUGCUGCUACUGCUGCUUUGCUCUUCUUCCGCUUCAGCUAACAGCUCAUCUGCACAUCUCAGAAUGAGAGAGAGCGAGAGCGAGAGAAGGAGCGGGGAAAAAAGAGAAAGAAAUCCCCUUCAGGGAGAGACAGAAAAAUCAUAGAGCAGCUGACUCUUUCAGCCCCGGUUCAGCUACAUCACGGACAAUGACAGAGAGAGAGAGAGAGAGAGAGAGAGAGAGAGAGAGAGAGAGAUGAAAAUUGAAAGAGGGGCAAACAGGAGAUAAAGACUGAGAAAGAGAGAGCAGGCUGGAGGAAGAGGAGAUCAGAUUGGGAAUGCCAGGGUAGGCUUAGAGAUUUAGUACUCCUCCUUAGCUGCAUUUAAUCAGGUCUGUACGAACAGACAGAGCCCCUUUUUGGGUUAGGGGCUUGGACACCCAGCUUGAGCUGCAGCGGAGGUGAAUCUCCUUAUCCCAGAUGAUCAAGCCUGCAGCAGCAGAGUUCAGCCUCAGAGCCUAAAGCUACAGAGGCUGUUCUUCCUGGGUC